rnacentral:lncRNA from 1 species
AUUUUUUUUAUUUUUAGGCAAACCUCUACAGCAUUCCUUCUCUAGCAGUUCCCUUUUUGAUUGUCCCUGUCUUCCUCUUCGAUUCCUGAUCAAAUAAUACCCAAAAGAAAAACCAAAAAUUAGUAAGAGAGAAGAAAAGGGAUAAUUAAAGUAACAAAAAUAGAAAAUAUUUUUAUUUUAUUUUAGAGAUAUAUGUAUAUAUUUUUUAAAGUUUUUUUUUACAUAUAUGAAAAGAAAAACAACUAUACUAACAAUCCCCGGCAACGGCGCCAAAAAUUGAUAGUCAACUUUAAAGACCAUGCAAUAGCACGUAUCUGGUAGGAUAGUGAUUACGGGUAUC